rnacentral:rRNA from 1 species
UACGUAGGGGGCUAGCGUUGUCCGGAUUUAUUGGGCGUAAAGAGCGUGUAGGCGGCCAUUCAGGUCAGCUGUGAAAACUCGAGGCUCAACCUCGAGAGGUCGGUGGAAACCGUGUGGCUAGAGUCCGGAAGAGGAGAGUGGAAUUCCCGGUGUAGCGGUGAAAUGCGCAGAUAUCGGGAAGAACACCCGUGGCGAAGGCGGCUCUCUGGGACGGUACUGACGCUGAGACGCGAAAGCGUGGGGAGCGAACAGG